UUUGGCUGCAGCAUUUGUUAAGCUUUUGUCUUGUAUUUUGUCUAAUCUUUUCUACUAAACGUUUACUUUUGCGGUUUUUUUUUGAAUUUAUUGGCACCGUUCCGGUCUUUUGCAUUACCUAUCAAAGAAGCCACAUUUUUCAAAAUACUUUAACCAAUUUUUACGUACUUGUACAUUUCUUGCUCAAAGACCACGUUUUCCGAUGUGCACUGAUGUCUCAGUGUCCAUCAAAAGCUGUGAUUACCAAAUGUUAUGUCGCGUUUUAUUAUCUUCCAGUAUUGAAACGAUUGUACAAACCGGCGGUUAUAUAUUUUGUCAGCAAGUAAACUCAGUUUGCCAAAAUGUUUUGGAUUGUCAUUCACGUUUCUUGUUAGAUCAUCAGCAAUCAAUUCUCAUCUCAAACCCCAGCAUGGGAUGGAACAUUCGUCUGGUACUUAACACCCUCCCUGGCAACACAAGGAAAACCAUAGAGUGAACAAACGUUUGGCAUUUCCACUCGUGUUCGUGGAAGGUAGAUGUAUCUAUUGUGUAAGGGGAAGCUGUUUAGCAUUUCUUUCGGAUUUCUUGCCUCACUUCAAACCUGCGUUGUAGCCGACCACCUCAUUCAACGUCGAAGUGGUUGUGAGUGAAGUAUUCCGUAUCAAUCAUAUUACCAAUGAAGUGGUGUAUGGUGGGUAUGCGAGUGUGAGUUUGUUUACCUUCUUGAUGGUAAAACAAACUCAAAGCCGCUACAACCUGACACA